rnacentral:lncRNA from 1 species
UUUCAGCAUAAUCUUGCUAGUGUAUGCAAUGGUGUCAGCAUUUGGAAGCUGAUUAUGGGAUGGAUCCCCGGAUAUGCUAGUGUCUACAUGCUAUUUCAAAUAUAUCUUUUUCAUCUAGGAUUCUCAAUAAAACUUUACUACAUUUACAAUACAUAUCUGUAGGAACAAACAUCCUACAUGUUUUUUGACUCCCUUAGAAUUUGCAUUAUUAUCAGGAUGUUUUAUAUAUGUAUAUACAUAUAUACAUAUAUAUGUGUGUGUACACACACAUCAUAUACAUAUACAUAUACAUAUACAUAUACAUAUACAUAUACAUAUACAUAUACAUAUACAUAUACAUAUACAUAUACAUAUACAUAUACAUAUACAUAUACAUCAUAUACAUAUACAUCAUAUACAUAUACAUCAUGUACAUAUACAUCAUAUACAUAUACAUCAUAUACAUAUACAUCAUAUACAUAUACAUAUACAUUAUAUACAUUAUCAGACAUAAAUGUACAAGAUGGCAAGUCAGUUUCCAUUGUCCAGUGAGCAGUUGAUAGUCUAGAGGAAUUGAACCCAUUUUACUCGUCAAUGUGUUUUAAUGACACUAGUUAGGACUCUCUAUAAUGCUCUUAAUUACUAUACUACUUAUCCAUGAGGUCCCGGGUCAUUCUUGAAAUGCCUAGAGCAUAGAAGUCUUAGCCACAUGCCAGGUGACUCAGUCAUCUAACAGUGUGUUCUCUUCAGAAUCACCCGGGUGAGCUUUGCUUCCUGGGAUCAAGAAUCCUAGUUAUAAAGACAGAGUGAGAGAGAUGAUGGAGGCCAAAAUCCCUGCUGACUGCACAGGUUCGAAAGAGAUGAGUUUGUUGUUUGAGCCACCCCUCUCAGGAGCAAAUAAUGUACUACUUAGACCAUCAUAUGGUUACUUCAGAGCUGGCCUCUCUGCAUCAUUAUAUUUGCCACUUUGGCAAAUAAGAGACUGCAUCAUGCUAGGGAACUUAGGGACAUCUCUGGUCACCAGUAACAUCUUCUGAGCAGCUAGCGCCAACUUCAUUCAGAAAACACAUCCAUAAUUGCCAUUUGUCUCUAUGUGGACAGAGACACUCACAUUGAAACCAUUGCUUUGUAGGUUAGAUGAUCAAGAAAGCCCUGGGAAGUUGAAUGGUUACUCGAAGCCCUAGAAAGAAAAGUCCCAGACUGCUGAUAUUCACACUUAGUGUCCAGUUUAUUCUAUUUCCUAGUGAUGUUUCUAUAACCCAGAAAUGAUUUUUCUUUAUAUAAUUAAAUAUACCUAAGGUAUAGUUCAUAUAAUAGCAUUAAGAUAAGGCAUAUUUAGAUGUAGCUGCUCUUCUAGAUUGUAGGGUUUUGAUAUAUUCAACUUAUUGAAUGCAAAAAAAGUCCUGUAAUUGUUUAUAUCGGAUUAAAAAUGAAGUUUCUUUGCAGAUAAAAAUCACAUUUUACAAACCUACAUAGACAGGGAUGAGGAUAUAAAACAGCCUUCGUCUCCGGACUGAGAAAUGUUUUAUGCUUUCUUUACCUAACUGGCACUGAAGUAGAAAAAUGUAUCUGUACAAAAAAUUCUG